GUUAACACGGUAUUUUUUUCUCUUUUUUUUAGACGGUGUCUCACUCUGUCGCCUGUGCUGGAAUGCAGUGAUGUGAUCUUGGUUCACUACAGUCUCUUUCAGUGCUUUGGUGCCUGUCCAGUAGGAAGUUCUGCCUCUUGGCUGAUCUCACCCUGAUAUGCUGCACUUUUCUGGGUUCCUCUGAGGACAGCCUGAGUUUAAAAUCUCUACCACCAAGUGAGGAAGACAAUGAUGAUGUCCAGGUAAGACGCCCUUUCUUUUCCUUCAGAGAAAAUGUUGCUUUCCUGAUGUUAGAAACAAACUCACCCAUCCACACCCAAAGAAUGCACUCAGAGGCCCGCAGAACAGAGAAAGUGAUACUUUUAAUGAUGGUCUUCCAAGAUCGGGUGUCUGAUGGGCAGACACAUCCAGAACAGUUUCAACAAGAAUUUUAUACCCUAGUGUGCAGGUCCCUCCCCUGGUUCCUCAUAGACUGAGUACUGUGGAGUCACAAUAUUCCCGGGUGUCACAUAUUGAUUUUUUUUGGGGGGGGGGGUUAGGUAUUUUUCUAGGGUUGUCUUACUGCAUUUUGUUGAAGCCCACAAUGCAUUGCCAUCCUAGUCAGCUCAGGGCCUCUUCAGGUAUUUGACUUAUG
rnacentral:lncRNA from 1 species